UAUAUAUAGUAUACGUAGCACCAGAUAUUUUUCAUUCCAGGCACACCUCAUCUACGUACGGCAGUAUUUUUUGAACCAAGGAAUUCAGAAUUUCAGAAGAAUUAUAUUUUCAAGAUGUCUAAAAUCAUCGUAGCCUGCCUUCUAGCUUUGGCACUUCUUCAUUGCGUCAUGGCACAGUCCGGAGACGUCACCACCGCAGCAGAGAUGACCACAUCUGGGGCCGAAUCUGUCUUGGGAUCAACGCUAUUCUUGUGUAUUACAACCCUUUUUGCACUUUUCCGCAACAUCCAAUAAAUGGAGAAGAAUUUACGAUAUCUUUACAGUUUUUAACUCAAAUUAAUAGAUAUAAAAUAUUAUGCAACACGGACUUUGAUAGAAGAUAAACUACACCUGUCUAAUAAUUUGAUUCCUAAGAAUAGCUAGAGCAUCACAUUACGACAACGCAAUAGUUACUUAAUGCUGAAAAAAACACUUUUGUAUAUUGUUUUAAAAACAUUUGUUUCAUUUUCUCAAAAUAUCGUUUUCAGUCAAAUGAUGAGAAAAAUAUUCUACGUUUUCUCGGAUGAUUUUUUAAAUUAUUAGAGCUAUAUUAAAGUUGUUUGAAAAUACAGUAAAAUUUCUUCUUUUUUCUACGAAAUAUUGUCCCUAAUCUAUUAGCAGUUAUAGGUGAGUGUCGCAAAAAGGAACCUGGUUUACGAUGGUUACUAAGAUGGUUUGGACUAUUCAAUGACUGACGUUAGUUGUUUAUGAUGUCGAAAAAUAGAAGUCUUUUUCUGCAUUUUCUUUCAUGGACGGCCAUUUUUUAAUAAAAUAAACGAACAACAAAAAUGAAC